CUGGCGGCGUCCCUAAUACAUGCAAGUCGAGCGAACUUUUGGGGGCUUGCUCCCAAAAGUUAGCGGCGGACGGGUGAGUAACACGUGGGCAACCUGCCUAUAAGACUGGGAUAACUUCGGGAAACCGGAGCUAAUACCGGAUAAUUCUUUUCUACACAUGUAGGAAAGCUAAAAGACGGUUUACGCUGUCACUUAUAGAUGGGCCCGCGGCGCAUUANCUAGUUGGUGAGGUAACGGCUCACCACGGCCACGAUGCGUAGCCGACCUGAGAGGGUGAUCGGCCACACUGGGACUGAUACACGGCCCAAACUCCCACGGGAGGCAACAGUAGGGAAUCUUCCGCAAUGGACGAAAGUCUGACGGAACAACGCCGCCUGAGUGAUGAAGGUUUUCGGAUCGUAAAACUCUGUU
rnacentral:rRNA from 1 species